CAACAAAUUUUAUCUUUUAUCAGCCUACUAGUAUCCAUGGGGAUCCAUAGGGGUUCCCCGCUAUACAUGAACCAUGCACAUUAAUAACUUAAUUCUAAAGUCGUCCCCAUACCCCGUUCGGCAUGGACGCCAAAACUAUAAACCUCAAUACCCCGUCCGGUAUAAGGGUGAAAUGGGUCAUCCCCAUACCCCAUCUGGUAUGGGCACCAAAACACAUAAAGUCUCCAUACCCCGUUC
rnacentral:lncRNA from 1 species